UACGGGGGGAGCAAGCGUUGUUCGGAUUUAUUGGGCGUAAAGCGCGUGUAGGCGGGACAAUAAGUCAGAGGUGAAAUCUUUAGGCUUAACCUAAAAACUGCCUCUGAUACUGUUGUUCUUGAGUGCGGAAGAGGGAAGUGGAAUUCCAGGUGUAGCGGUGAAAUGCGUAGAUAUCUGGAAGAACACCAGUAGCGAAGGCGGCUUCCUGGUCCGCAACUGACGCUGAGACGCGAAAGCGUGGGGAG
rnacentral:rRNA from 1 species